AGUAUGUCGAAUCCCCGCAAGGGGUACGGAGGACCCGCGCACGUGGGGUGAAUCUGCCAUUUUCGCAGAGGGCCUGCCUCAGGCCUAACCCGUCAGCUAACUUCGGAGACAGAGAGGA
rnacentral:sRNA from 1 species